CCUUUCUCCUCAUCACAUUUCCGCCAUCCCCACCGAAUGAAUUGGAUCUACACACAUUUUUGGGCAUUUUCCUGGUUAAGGAUUUAUGCUCUAAAGAAAUUCAUGUCUUUUCUGCGCGGGAUGACUUGCAUCAUUGGGGAAAGAAGGUUUUUUCCCACGGGACUGGUUUCUUGCCCACACACUGACAAGUACCGCUUCCAUUGGAAAGUUGGUUGGCUUGCCGAUCAGCUGCAUGACACACAGCAGCAAAAAAUCUUCACAACCAUCGGACAUUGCACACACACAAACCAUCAGCGACUCUUGCACUCUCUUUGUGUCGUCUUCAUCUUUAGUGAUUUGGAUGCCAGCACAGUGUUUAGUCGUUUUUUAUCUUGCUCUAUGUAAUUUUGCAUGAAAUUUUCUAAUUUUUAUUGUGAUGUGUCCCUUUCUGAGGUGGGAAAUUUAUUUCCUACAGUUUUUUGACAAAAAAACAGCCCCAUGCUGAUAGCCUGAAGAAGCCAAUAAACAUUUGGCGAAACGCGUCGCUGGAUAGCAUAAAUGCUGUUUUUUCUUUCCUUUUUCUGACUGCGUACACCGAUUGAAAAAAUUCAACAAAUUACAACAGUCGUGAAAUAUUCUACAUCAACACCUUUUUCGGUUAUUUUCUCCUCAAUCAUCCUUUCUCCUCAUCACAUUUCCGCCAUCCCCACCGAAUGAAUUGGAUCUACACACAUUUUUGGGCAUUUUCCUGGUUAAGGAUUUAUGCUCUAAAGAAAUUCAUGUCUUUUCUGCGCGGGAUGACUUGCAUCAUUGGGGAAAGAAGGUUUUUUCCCACGGGACUGGUUUCUUGCCCACACACUGACAAGUACCGCUUCCAUUGGAAAGUUGGUUGGCUUGCCGAUCAGCUGCAUGACACACAGCAGCAAAAAAUCUUCACAACCAUCGGACAUUGCACACACACAAACCAUCAGCGACUCUUGCACUCUCUUUGUGUCGUCUUCAUCUUUAGUGAUUUGGAUGCCAGCACAGUGUUUAGUCGUUUUUUAUCUUGCUCUAUGUAAUUUUGCAUGAAAUUUUCUAAUUUUUAUUGUGAUGUGUCCCUUUCUGAGGUGGGAAAUUUAUUUCCUACAGUUUUUUGACAAAAAAACAGCCCCAUGCUGAUAGCCUGAAGAAGCCAAUAAACAUUUGGCGAAACGCGUCGCUGGAUAGCAUAAAUGCUGUUUUUUCUUUCCUUUUUCUGACUGCGUACACCGAUUGAAAAAAUUCAACAAAUUACAACAGUCGUGAAAUAUUCUACAUCAACACCUUUUUCGGUUAUUUUCUCCUCAAUCAUCCUUUCUCCUCAUCACAUUUCCGCCAUCCCCACCGAAUGAAUUGGAUCUACACACAUUUUUGGGCAUUUUCCUGGUUAAGGAUUUAUGCUCUAAAGAAAUUCAUGUCUUUUCUGCGCGGGAUGACUUGCAUCAUUGGGGAAAGAAGGUUUUUUCCCACGGGACUGGUUUCUUGCCCACACACUGACAAGUACCGCUUCCAUUGGAAAGUUGGUUGGCUUGCCGAUCAGCUGCAUGACACACAGCAGCAAAAAAUCUUCACAACCAUCGGACAUUGCACACACACAAACCAUCAGCGACUCUUGCACUCUCUUUGUGUCGUCUUCAUCUUUAGUGAUUUGGAUGCCAGCACAGUGUUUAGUCGUUUUUUAUCUUGCUCUAUGUAAUUUUGCAUGAAAUUUUCUAAUUUUUAUUGUGAUGUGUCCCUUUCUGAGGUGGGAAAUUUAUUUCCUACAGUUUUUUGACAAAAAAACAGCCCCAUGCUGAUGUAAGUUGCUUUAAAAAGAAAAAUUUUAAAGAUUUUUUUCCCGCGAACAGAAAUUUUGUAACGCCCAAAUCAUUUCUUUUCCAUGUAAUAGAGCCUGAAGAAGCCAAUAAACAUUUGGCGAAACGCGUCGCUGGAUAGCAUAAAUGCUGUUUUUUCUUUCCUUUUUCUGACUGCGUACACCGAUUGAAAAAAUUCAACAAAUUACAACAGUCGUGAAAUAUUCUACGUCAAA